rnacentral:rRNA from 1 species
GACGAACGCUGGCGGCGUGCUUAACACAUGCAAGUCGAACGAAGAGCGAUGGAAGCUUGCUUCUAUCAAUCUUAGUGGCGAACGGGUGAGUAACGCGUAAUCAACCUGCCCUUCAGAGGGGGACAACAGUUGGAAACGACUGCUAAUACCGCAUACGAUCUAAUCUCGGCAUCGAGGAUAGAUGAAAGGUGGCCUCUACAUGUAAGCUAUCACUGAAGGAGGGGAUUGCGUCUGAUUAGCUAGUUGGAGGGGUAACGGCCCACCAAGGCGAUGAUCAGUAGCCGGUCUGAGAGGAUGAACGGCCACAUUGGGACUGAGACACGGCCCAGACUCCUACGGGAGGCAGCAGUGGGGAAUCUGCCGCAAUGGACGAAAGUCUGACGGAGCAACGCCGCGUGAGCGAUGACGGCCUUCGGGUUGUAAAGCUCUGUUAAUCGGGACGAAAGGCCUUCUUGCGAAUAGUGAGAAGGAUUGACGGUACCGGAAUAGAAAGCCACGGCUAACUACGUG